UGGGGGGGGGGUUGGGUUUUUUUUGUUUGUUUGUUUUUUGGGGAGAGUCUGAAGUUUUACUUGGUGUUGAUGGUACACAAGUAUUAGAGUCAGAUCUAGAAAGACGUAUGAGGCUCCAUAAAGAAAUUUCCUAGAGACACAUCUGCGCCUUUACAAAUAAAAUACUGUUCUUCUGACACAAUGAAAGGAUAUUCAAGAAAGGGAUGCAAGAAAUAAAACAAACUGAACCCUGGUACACAGUAACAGAAUGUUCAGAAAGGCGGAAACAACAAAUCUCUCCUUUUGCUAAUUGGAAGAAUGACUUAUGUAACCUUUCUGGAUAGAAAUAAUACACUUCGGUAUGGUUCCAACUCAUACUUCACCCUGAAAGAGCCAGUUCUGUUACACAUUGUAGAGUGCAAGCUUCUUGCUAUUUGACUUGAUUUUUCUGUUCUGUUUAAUAUAUCUAAAUGUACUCAAAAUGCUAAACAAUGUAUGGUGGAUUUAUUUUUAUUGCAUUUAGUAUGUGCCUUGCAAAUGCCUGUGUUUUAGUAGGUCAGUGUUAUUCAUGUCCAUCUUUAUAAGAGGUGCACAUAACCAAAACAGCUUGGACGUGUUUAUGCUGAAUUGGCUCUGUUGCUGUCUGGAUUAUAUUAAGUGAAACACAUUCCACUGAAUGUAAAGAUGUCAGUAUCCAGUCAGGUGUGUAUCAGAUUUGUUUAAUGUUCAUGGUACAUCAGCGGCGAACUGAAUGAACAGUUGAAGCUUUUUCUUUACUUUCAAGUAGCAUCAAAGGAGGAAUAACUUAUUUUUUUAAUAUUCAGAUAGGCAGUCUCCAGAAUUCUUUGAUGUCCAGAGUAACGAUAAAAAGGUGAUGUGAACCUUCACAACUGAUGAGAUGCAACUGAUUGGGUUUUCAGCUGUAUGGCUAAUAUAUGAAUCCCUGUGAAAGUGGACACCAACCUGAAUUUUAAAGUAAUGAUCAUCUCUGUGCUCCAGAGAUGACACCAUUCAUUGUGCUUCCUCUUGCCUGUGUACGUUGAUUGGCCAAAUACAAGUCAGAUCAUUUCAGCUCUUCUAUUGACACCUGUUUCCCCCUCACAUCAAGAAAUGUAGUACAUAGAGAUUACAUCUCACUGUAAUGCUUGUCUAGUGCUUUUGCAUUUAAAUCCUUAACUCUUCAAUAAAUGAAAAUAAUGUUAGAUAUUUCUAAUUUAAUGGCCCCAAUUAAAAAAGUGUAUCUAAUACUGAGUGUGCCCCUCAGUAGUUUUUCUGCUUGUUUCUCAGUGAGAGUUCCUAUGCUCAGAGGAUGAGUUGCUUGCUGUAGUAGAAAGGGUUAUGAACUGCUGUGUUUAAUUUAAAAUAAAAUCUGUUAGGUUUCAGCUGGGUUUGCUGGACAUUUCUAAGAAUUUAUUCAGCUCUGUCUGCUCUUAAUUUUAUGCUGUAAUAAAUAGAUAAGUGUUGAGUACAUUUGGUAACUGUCAAAAGGUCAGUGUGCUCGGGUCUGGGAACAUUUGACUAGUUCAUUCUGGUGACUAAGUGGUUUAAAAGAUCUUUUUUUUUUUAAUAUGUAAUUUUGUAUGAAGGGCUUGGCCAUUAAGCAGAAUACUGAAACGGGUCUCGUAUUUCUUGUAUAUUCCAUGCUUCCCAGCUUUUACAGUUGGAAGAUCUUCAACUGUUUCAGCUUGAUAGGUUACUCUUCUGGUCUGUGUGAAUUAAUUACCGGUAUAUGUAUUUCUUUUCCUUCCAUUAGAAGUUGUUUCCCUACAUCUAAACUUGAAUAAUACUUAGCUAUGGAAGCUGAGUGCCUUUGCAUUUUUUCUCCAGUUUAAAGUGCUUUAUUUUUCACUUAAAAGGUUCUUGACCCUAAUUGAUACAGGGCUGUAUCUGCCAUUGAGUUGCACACAGAUUUCCUAGUGACUUCAACAAAGUUCUGAGUGCAGAACAAUAGUAGGACAAGUCGCUUACAGAAUAUUUUGUGGCACCUUAUUGUGGUUAAAUUUAUUUCCCAUUGUCAUCCCUAUUUUCAGAGGUUUGCAGUGUGGCCAAAAUCAUUCAGUCUAGGCUGAAACUUGGAAUAUAAGCUCUCACCCGGGAAGUAUCCUUCUGUUUAAUAGUAUUUUUUAAUAAAUAGUUUGUAUUUGUUAUAGGAGCUAAAGGAAAUAUCCUGGGUUUAGAAUCGCUGUGCAUUUCUAAUGCUUUUGAAUUUUAAGCUGAGAACUUUGCAUAUAGUGCUAGAAUAUGAACUGGAUUUUUUGGAGGAAAAAGAUUAAAAAAUGACUCGCUGUGACUCCACUGUGGAUAAGCAGCGCGGUAAGUUAUGUGUAUUUCCUCUUUCAGUGAAAUAUGUGUAAUUUUAAUCAUAUGCACUUCGUGUGUUUGUUUGGUAGCUAGAAUGCCACAACAGUCAGUUAUUGCUGCAAACGAGCCCUAACAGUCUAUCUAUACACAGGUUGUGAACAAAGAUUUUAAAGGAUAGACUGUAUUGGCAACAAAGGAACAGUUAACGUUUGGUCAAAACUCCACUUCACAAAAUACCUCUCUCUCUCACACACUCUCUCUCUCUGCUUCACUUCUUUCAGGUAAAUAUGUAUUUACAUUAAGGUGAAUUUCAGGAAAUGGGGGACAUAUGCAUGACAACAUACCCAAGUAACUUGAAUUACGUAGUGUUUCAUGAGUGUUUCCAACCUAUUUUAAAAUGUGUAUCAUUAAAUAUUCAGUUUGUUACAACUUAUUCUUACUAGUUUAAUGUAGAUUUGCUUUUAAAACUUGCACCUCUUCCAUGUUUCUUCUGCUAAAAUUUGCUUGAACAAAAAAAAGCCUUUGUUUUCCCAUUGGUUAAUACAAAUGAAAAGUAUGAGACUGCUAACUGGGAUAUGGAGCAUUUCCCCUCUAGAUUGACCAUACAAAUCCAGCUUAGGCCAGUAGUGACUAUCUGAAGGUGGUUUGGUCAUCAUGAAAUGAAUUGGUGAUCCAGUUAGUAGUGGGCAGGUGUCAACAUGAGGAAGUCACAGAAUUACACUAAUUGGCACCACGCAAAGGGAUGGACACUGAACUGUCUUCUGACCCUUAGAAGUGGUGGUGCCUUCAAUUCCAGUUUGAGGUAACUGACAGAGCAGUGUGGGAAACUUGUCUCAUCCCCACCCACUCCACUCCCUGUAUUGAGAAAGAAUAAAAGAAUUUUAUUGCCAUCUCCUUCAGUCUGGCAUCACAAGCAUUAUAUUUGCUUACAAAGUGGCCCACAAGUUUGAUGACACCACAGCUUGAAAUAUUAUCAGUUGGCAUAACUGCUCUAGAGAGAAUUGGAAUGUUCCAUAGCUUUUAACAAUCAUGAAAACAGAAAACUGAUUUUAAAAAGGCCUUUCCAUGCAUUCUUCCUAAGUUUUAUUUGUUUCUGUGUGCAUUUGAAACAUGACUGAGCACCCUCGCAGUAAUUGGGUUGAAUGAGAGUAACAGUUCUAGUUCUAUGCAAAAAGCACUUUCCCUUCGUACUUAACCACGCAUUCUGUUGAUACAACUGAAAAGGCUUCAAGAAAUGUCUGAACUUCAGGUGCAUAGUUCUGUCAUAGAUUUGACCUUACAGUCGGAGUGGGGGGAAAAUAGUAUCUUUUCUCAGCUUCCCGUCCAGUUGGAUCUGAGACUUGGAAGCAGAGGAGGAAUCCAAAAUGUGUUUCAAUUAGACUGAAGCCUGGUUCCAGUUUGAAAGGCAAAAAUCAGUAAUCAUUGGGACUUCCGAUGCUGGCAAUCCGAUUUUAAGUUAUAGCCUUUGGAGAAAUAGUGUGCUUUUAGUUUUGCAAGUUCCACUAAGGAUCUGGGCAUUUGCUUUAUACAAAACAAUGUAUUCUGCAUUUGUAUUUAGUAUAUAUGCCUUCGAUUUGGCAAUGUUACCAUGUUUUCUUCUUAAGUUUGUGAAAUAAAGAUUUACAGAUAUUAAAA